GCUGACCGCUGGCGGCGUGUCUAAUACAGUCAAGUCGCGCGAACGGACUAGAAUCUUUCUUCUCUGAUGUUAGCUGCGGACGGGUGAUUAACACGUGGAUAACCUACCUAUAAGACUGGGAUAACUUCGGGAAACCUGAGCUAAUACCGGAUAAUAUUUUGAACCGCAUUGUUCAAAAGUGAAAGACUGUCUUGCUGUCACUCCUAGAUGGAUCCGCGCUGCAUUAGAUCGUUGGUAAGGUAACAGCUUACCAAGCCAACGAUGCAUAGCCGACCUGAGAGGGUGAUCGGCCACACUGGAACUGAGACACGGUCCAGACUCCUACGGGAGGCAGCAGUAGGGAAUCUUCCGCAAUGGGCGAAAGCCUGACGGAGCAACGCCGCGUGAGUGAUGAAGGUCUUCGGAUCGUAAAACUCUGUUAUUAGGGAAGAACAUAUGUGUAAGUAACUGUGCACACCUUGACGGUACCUAAUCAGAAAGCCACGGCUAACUACGUG
rnacentral:rRNA from 1 species